GACAGAGGGUGCAAACGUUGCUCGGAAUUACUGGGCGUAAAGCGCGUGUAGGCGGGCCACCAAGUCAGAUGUGAAAUCCCUGAGCUCAACUCAGGAACUGCAUUUGAAACUGGCGGCCUUGAGUGGUGGAGAGGGAAGCGGAAUUCCUGGUGUAGAGGUGAAAUUCGUAGAUAUCAGGAGGAACACCGGUGGCGAAGGCGACUUCCUGGACACCAACUGACGCUGAGACGCGAAAGCGUGGGGAGCAAACAGGAUUAGAAACCCCCGUAGUCC
rnacentral:rRNA from 1 species